rnacentral:rRNA from 1 species
UACAGAGACUGCAAGCGUUAUUCGGAUUCACUGGGCGUAAAGGGUGCGCAGGCGGCCAAGUGUGUGAGGCGUGAAAGCCUGGGGCUUAACCCCAGAAUUGCACCUCAAACUACUUGGCUAGAGCAUUGGAGAGGGUAGCAGAAUUCAUGGUGUAGCAGUGAAAUGCGUAGAUAUCAUGAGGAAUACCAGAGGCGAAGGCGGCUACCUGGACAAUUGCUGACGCUCAGGCACGAAAGCGUGGGGGAGCAAAAAGGG